UUCACAGGAUGGCCCGCAGGAGCAACAUCACUCAAACACGCUUAUGAGGAAACAUCAUGACACCCUGUGACGCACUGCUGAACUUUUGGGGACUGGAGAGCAUGAAUCAGAAGCGCUACUGGUCCUUGAAAAAGAUACGCCUCGAGAAAGAACAUCAAGUACUGGCCCAACAGAACCGUGAAGGGGACUGCCACUGAUUGCCUUUAUUGUUUUGACAUCCUAUAUUGCGGCGGGUGUUGUGUAUGCGUCGCGAUGCGCAUUGUGUCUUGGGCCACCAGGUUGCAGGGGCUCACCCCCUACCUGCUCAGUCAUUGGUUCAUGCUGUGAAGGGGUGGAGUGUAGUGGAAUUCCAGGGUCACAGCCUGAACCAAUGGGUGGGCUCUGUGAGUGUGUGAGUGCGGCGGCGCGGCGGUACGAAUGGGGGAGGGACACAUUCCUCAGCUCGGCUCGGGCUGCGCGCUGCUACCGGGAGGGACUUCUCUGAAUACACUGCCAUUUUUACGCAAACAGACUCAUUCACCUCUCACAAGAAUCUCUCCAUCCUUCAUCCUUCAGACUUGGCUGAAAUUUUUAAGGACAAAACAUCUUUAAUUUGAGAGCAUCUUUAUUGGAGGGAAGGCUUUAAAAUUGAUUCAUAUCAUUAAGCAAAUAUGACUGGUGGUUCCACUUCAUCAGACAUCAACAGUGGCACAAAUGUCCACAUUUUUUUUGGAAACUCAAAUCAGCCACAAAGGAAUUAAAAAUAUCUGCAUCUUAUUUCUUAGUGAAACUUUCAGUAUCAGGGAAAACUAACAUUCCAUGAUUCCAUAUAGUUUCUGUCUAUUAAGUUGUAUUAUUUUAUUACAGUUAUUUACAAAAUCCUCACAAAUAAAGUAUUUCUUUUGCUUCAUAUCAUUUUAAAUUUAUUGGAAAAAAAAAAACAUAUAAAUGUGUUUAAUGGUACUGUACUAUUUUAAUAUUAUUAUUUUAUAUUUAUAAUAAUUAUUAUUGCAGUCAAAAGACAAAGGGCAAAGGAAAUGUCAGAAUCAUUUAAGAAAAGAAUCACAAGAACUGUUCAAAUGAAAUAACCACAAAUAUUUUUUGAGAUUUUUUUUUAAAUGGAUUUUUAUGAAUCUUUAAUUCUAUUAAAUGGAAUAAGAAAACAUUGGAACACUGCGUACAUUGAUAUUAGAUCUUUACAAAUGACACUGUACUAAUGCUACAUAAUCCUGUAUAAUAUGGAAUGGAUAAUCUAACGUAUAAAAGAGGCAAAUGAUUUUGUCAUUGUUGUCCUCAGCAUAAAGUUAUUAACAAAGAAUUUUUAAUUCUGUGAAGAAAUAUCAUUACUUUUUUUUGUUUGUAUGUAUGUAUAAAUAAAUAAAUAAAUAAAUAUAUUUUAUGGCAAGAAAAAACAACAGAUGAUACAGUAGCAAAAUUCUGACCUCAAACUGUACCAGCUACUGUUGUUUAGGACAUCUAGUAUGAAACUUUGUAUUCACUAGACAAGCAUUUAGUAUAAUCUAGAACAAUGCCAAGUACAGUUGGCAGUUACAGAUCUUACUUACGGUUCAUUAAGAUUUAUGAGCUGAAUAUAUUUGUAUGUGGACUAGCAAAACAACCAAAAAAGUAAACAAACAAACAAACAAACAAAAAAACAGCCAACACAAAUACAGUGCUGGUUUUCUCCAGCACCCUGAUCAUAUGUCUAUGUUAGCAACUGAAAGGUGAAGUUCUAAUAAAGAUUCAAAUUUCCCGGUAGUAUUCUUCUUGUGCUUUCCUUAAUUUCUUUUGUUUCUGCCUAAUUUGCUGGGAGUACUUGC
ensembl:lncRNA